rnacentral:rRNA from 1 species
CCUACGGGGGGCAGCAGUGAGGAAUAUUGGUCAAUGGACGGAAGUCUGAACCAGCCAUGCCGCGUGCAGGAAGACGGCUCUAUGAGUUGUAAACUGCUUUUGUACAAGGGUAAACCUGAAUACGUGUAUUCAGCUGAAAGUACUGUACGAAUAAGGAUCGGCUAACUCCGUGCCAGCAGCCGCGGUAAUACGGAGGAUCCAAGCGUUAUCCGGAUUUAUUGGGUUUAAAGGGUGCGUAGGCGGAUUGAUAAGUUAGAGGUGAAAUGUCCGAGCUUAACUCGGGAACUGCCUCUAAUACGGUGGAUCUAGAGAGUAGAUGCGGUAGGCGGAAUGUAUGGUGUAGCGGUGAAAUGCUUAGAGAUCAUACAGAACACCGAUUGCGAAGGCAGCUUACCAAUCUAUAUCUGACGUUGAGGCACGAAGGCGUGGGGAGCAAACAGGAUUAGAUACCCGAGUAGUC